rnacentral:lncRNA from 10 species
CUGGGAUUACAGGCAUGAGCCACCAUGCCCAGCCACUAAGAGAAUUUUUUAAAUGAGAUAGAGAAGAAAAAGAUACCAUGAGAAACAAAACAGUGAAUUUCAGCUGGUGUUUCAUGGUUUGUAUGGAGAAACAUAUUUUGUCUGAUUGGCUUGAUUACUUUUUUUUAAGUGAAAAACAACUUUGCCAUAAUUCUUCAUUUUAUAGAGAAACCACAGGAAGAAAGCUUGUGUGGACUCAAGCUACCCUGUAGUACCUUUCUAACAACUAGAUUAAUGUUUGCCAUUAGAAAAUCUUUCCAUUAAAUUAAUGGCUACCUUUUUGGAUUAGACACUCACCUUCCAUUUGGCACUCAGAGUCAUUUCCUUGUCACUUGUUCCAAAAGAAAAUCACUUAGGAUAACUGAAGACCUUAGGGUAAUGAGCUUUUAUUAAGUCUGUCCUGAUCCUUCCUUUUGUACAAAAUUUAUGAAUUCUCCUUGCUCUUCCAUAUCAAGUCGUGUAUCUUCUCUUUGGCUUUCAGCCUGAUCCCACCCCAUCUGUGCCAUCCUGAUCUCACCCUAUUUAUAUGCCAUCCCGUUUUCCUCAACUCUUCAAUACCAGUUAUGUUAAUUUCCUUGUAGUUAUCAAAUACGUUAUAUUCAGCCAAUCUUUAUGUCUCUACCCACGUUGUACUUACCUUUCCUUUUAUCCAUGUGGAAUACCUUUCCCCUUUACCCAUCCUGAAUAGUAAAAUCCUACUUAUUCUCUAAGGCUUUUGAUCCACAUCAAUUUCUUAUUUCUGUGAGUUUGUAUAGCUUAUAAAUUACUAUUAUCAUUUAUUAAGCAUAUUUUGAGUGCCAGGCACAUUAUGUCUACUCCUUAUUACAAUUACACAAGGUAAUUAUUAUCAUCUUCAUUUCAUGAAAAGGGAAACAGAAGUUUAGAAAUGUUAUAUAAUUUGCCCAAAAUCACACACUCUAAAUUGCUAAGCUGAGGAGUGAACUGCAGGAGUGAUGGAUUCUAAAGCUCUUACUCUGUCUACCUAUACUUUCUCUUACACUACAUACUAUACGGAAGUGUUUCCUUUUUUUUUUUUUUUUUUGGUACUACGGGAGUCUCACAAUGUUACCUGGGCUGAUCUCAAACUCCUGGCCUCAAGCAGUCCUCCUGCCUCGGCCUCCCAAAGCACUGGGAUUACAGGCAUGAGCCAGUUCACCCAAAUGGGCAAUGUUUUCUAAUUAUUUUGUGUGCAUUAGUCUCUGCUGAAUUUGUUCAUGAAAUCAGAUACUAUAUAAUUUAAGAGUUGUAUUCAG